GACGAACGCUGGCGGCGUGCCUAAUACAUGCAAGUCGAGCGGACCGGAUUGGGGCUUGCCUUGAUUCGGUCAGCGGCGGACGGGUGAGUAACACGUGGGCAACCUGCCCGCAAGACCGGGAUAACUCCGGGAAACCGGAGCUAAUACCGGAUAACACCGAAGACCGCAUGGUCUUCGGUUGAAAGGCGGCCUUUGGGCUGUCACUUGCGGAUGGGCCCGCGGCGCAUUAGCUAGUUGGUGAGGUAACGGCUCACCAAGGCGACGAUGCGUAGCCGGCCUGGGAGGGUGACCGGCCACACUGGGACUGAGACACGGCCCAGACUCCUACGGGAGGCAGCAGUAGGGAAGCUUCCGCAAUGGGCGAAAGCCUGACGGAGCGACGCCGCGUGAGCGAAGAAGGCCUUCGGGUCGUAAAGCUCUGUUGUGAGGGACGAAGGAGCGUCGUUCGAAGAGGGCGGCGCGGUGACGGUACCUCACGAGAAAGCCCCGGCUAACUACGUG
rnacentral:rRNA from 1 species